rnacentral:lncRNA from 1 species
GGCAUCAAACUUCCCCUGCUGCAAUGUACAAGAGUUAGCCAGGGGUUUUGUUUUGUUUUUUUGACAUGUCGCCCUGGCUGGAGUACAGUGGUACAAUCUCAGCUCACUGCAACCUCCGCCUCCUGGGUUCAAGCGAUUCUCCUGCCUCAGCCUCCCAAGUAGCUGGGAUUACAGGUGCACACCAUGACACCCAGCUAAUUUUUGUAUUUUUAGUAGAGAUAGGGUUUCACCAUGUUGGCCAGCCUGGUUUUGAACUCCUGACCUCAAAUGAUCUGCCUGCCUCGGCCUCCCAAAGUGCUGGGAUUACAGGUGUGAGCCACCAUGCCCAGCUGCAGAGUGCAUUUUUAAGCAAACACAUCAUAUGUCAAUUCUUCAUAUAGUGUUCUUUAAUUUAUCUUGGGAAGCCAAAUAUCCCAUUUAGAAUUCUGUAAGAACUGAUUUUUCAAAUGCACAAUUAACCUAAGUCUUGCUUCUUGUUCAGUUCUAUUAGUUUCUAUGGAAAUAAGAAUAAAAGUAAAUGACUAUUUUUGCUUCUAAGGAAUUUACAAUUAAUCCUGAGAAGAUGUCUUAAGUGUAAACCUAAAAGUAUGGGAUUUUUUGGCUCAAAAAAAAAAUUUUCCUAACGGCCAGGCCUAGGGUUAAGAGGAAGUUAUUUUCUUGGGUUCAGAGAUUUGCAUAUGAAUGUUUUAAGCCUCUUAAAGUGACUUAAAACAACCUGGGACCCAAAGUUGUUGCCAGCUCAAAUGUAAAUGUUUUUAAACUUCAAAUUGCUGCUUCUGUUAUCACUGAACCUAUUAAUUUUCCUUAAACAGAAUUCUGACCAUUUCAUUGCCUCUUAAAAAGCUUCAGUGGGCCAGGCACAGUGGCUCACAGCUGUAAUCUCAGCACUUUGGGAGGCAGAGGCGGAGGAUUACCUGAGGUCAGGAGUUCAAGACCAGCCAAGCCAAUAUGGUAAAACCCCAUCUCUACUAAAAAUAUGAAAAUUAGCUAGGCAUGGUGUCAGGUGACUGUAAUCCCAGCUACUUGGGAGGCUGAGGCAGGAGAAUCACUUGAACCCGGGAGGCGGAGGUUUCAGUGAGCCGAGAUCUCGCCAUUGCACUCCAGCCUGGGCAAAAAGAGUGAAACUCCAUCUGAAAAAAAAAGCU